GGACAGAACGACAGAUUUGUACCUUGUCAGCUCGGGGGUUUGAACUUGCAACCUUCCGGUUACUAGUCCAGCGUUCUAACCACGACCCUGCCGACUAUGAACAGGGCACCUGGUUUACGCCCGGGAGGGGUUCCAAAACGAAUGCCAGAUUAAUCGAGUCCCCUCUAUGAAGGGAAGCGAAGUAGGAGGUUGGUCAAUUUUCACGUGGAGCUAGGCAAAAUUAGAUUUGUUUACAUAAUCGAAUCCUACAGAUGAAGAACCAUAUAUUUGACAUAAAAAAAAUAGAUAUACAUGAAAAAUCAUUAUUGGACACCCUUUUUCUAUAGUGAACCGGUUUCACAAGCUUUCCACGCGCUAUUUAACAAUCAUUUUAAAUUUAAAGAUAGGCUCUCGUGGAAUAACCGUUUAUGUGCACCACUCAGAAUGGACGGACAAGCACACAACUUUUCUGUUGCUGAUGAAAAUCGCCGAAAUGUGGGAAAGAAACGUAAAACAAAACUAAUAGAAUGGAAAGACAGGCGAAGGAAGAUCUUACGGGAUGCUGGAAAACCCUAUACAAAUCGUAAGGGUUAAGAAAAAACUGGGGAAAAGCUGUCCAAAAUAGGGAUUGCACACCGAGGGCCCAUUGAGGUGGCAAGCUGCAUAUUGAAGUGGGUGAAGGCAAAAUUCACGCCACUCACCAAACCAGAGGUGCGCAAGUUGAUCAUAUUCAGUGACAGAUGCUGUGGGCAGAAUAACAACUGGCGGAUGCUCAAUCUGAUGUCGAUGCUCGUCUCUAUGGGUUACUUUACCCAAGUUGAGCAGAAGUUCAUGGUCUCUGGUCAUUCUUGUCUUCAUUGUGAUUGAUCUUUUGCCACCAUCGAGAAGAGGCGCAAGUUGUCAGUCCUUCAUACACCUGAUGAUGUUUCAAAGAUGAUACUUGAAGCACAACCAGCAAAACCAUUCAAGGUGAUGAGGAUGCAAUGUGAAGACUUCAGGCACCUCCCAGAUUCUGUCCUCAAGCGACCAGCUGGACUACAGAUCACCUCAGUGAAGUGGUUAAAAGUCACAGGAUCCUUGGAAUCUGUACGCCAGACAGAGCCACAGUCUAUUUGAGGGAUGGAAAUCGUGGCUGAUCUCCAAACCACAACAAGGAGCUACACCUCAACCUCCCUAUUUUGCAAGCCACUACCCUAGAACAUAUGAGAGUCCUCUGCCCAUCAAAAAAAAACAAGUACCAAGAUCUGAUGACCAUGCUCAACUACUUGCCAGCUGCUGCACACUCUUUUUAUAAAUCACUGCAGAGUGAAUAAUUUGUUGUUAAACCAAUCUACAUAAUUAACUGUUUUUUUCUGUGAGUUUAUGAUCCCUGAACCUGUAUAGUAUGUUGAAUCUGAAUACAUUUCAGAAGACAUGUUAGGAAAUUAAAUGUAUAGUAGGUGUUUUCUAUGUGAAUCAAUUUGUGUAUGAUUUGAACCAGCACAAUAUAAUGAAUUAAUUUAAUUUUAAGAUGUUCUUAGUGUAGAAAAUGUUAUGUACAAUGUGUUCUGUUGAGAAUAAUUUUGUGUGUGAUCAUUUGAACUUUUUUUAAUCUGAAUUAAUUAAAAACAAAUAAGUCAUCACAUACCGUAUGUGAGUAUUCAUUUGAUCUUGAUUCCCUUUUUUUAUUCAUUACAAUAUACAAUACGUCUCUGUCACCACAUUUAGCAUUAACUCUAAGCAGUUAAUACUUAUUUACUGCUGUCACCUCAGUACAGAAGGACAUUUCUUGCCUUUAGCAUGGGUUUAACGCAAUUCAAAACUUAAUUGCUGAUCAUAGUGUUAAACGCAAAGAGAAUGGUUUUCUGAACGUUUUGUAAUAUUGACCUUAGGGAUCUGCAUAAUGGACAUGCAUAUUGGCACAUCACGUUGAUCCAUAUUUGAUAUGUACAAGUUGUGCUGGUUUUGAUUGAAUUAAUUUAAUUGUAUUCUAUUUUUGUAGUUAUUCUACGGUAUGUUCACAUUGAGGGCUUAAUUUUAAAUGAGACUAAUAUUUCAUGACUCAACUUUUAAGAAAAG